UACGUAUGGGGCAAGCGUUAUCCGGAUUUACUGGGUGUAAAGGGAGCGCAGGCGGCCUGGCAAGCCUGAUGUGAAAUACCGGGGCCCAACCCCGGGGCUGCAUUGGGAACUGCCAGGCUGGAGUGCCGGAGAGGCAGGCGGAAUUCCUAGUGUAGCGGUGAAAUGCGUAGAUAUUAGGAGGAACACCAGUGGCGAAGGCGGCCUGCUGGACGGUGACUGACGCUGAGGCUCGAAAGCGUGGGGAGCGAACAGG
rnacentral:rRNA from 1 species